rnacentral:tRNA from 1 species
UGCCGAGGUGGCGGAGUUCGGUUAACGCGCGGGAUUGCUAAUCCCGUGGCCGAAAGGCCGCUUGGGUUCAAAUCCCAACCUCGGCGU